rnacentral:rRNA from 1 species
UGCAAGUCGAACGAACUUUCCUGAUGAUUGAAGCUUGCUUCAUGAAUCAGAUCUAAGUGAGUGGCGGACGGGUGAGUAACACGUGGGUAACCUGCCCAAAAGUGGGGGAUAACAUCUGGAAACAGGUGCUAAUACCGCAUAACAACUACUUUCACAUGAUCGUAGCUUGAAAGAUGGCUCUGCUAUCGCUUUUGGAUGGACCCGCGGCGUAUUAGCUAGUUGGUGAGGUAAAGGCUCACCAAGGCAAUGAUACGUAGCCGACCUGAGAGGGUAAUCGGCCACAUUGGGACUGAGACACGGCCCAAACUCCUACGGGAGGCAGCAGUAGGGAAUCUUCCACAAUGGGCGAAAGCCUGAUGGAGCAAUGCCGCGUGAGUGAAGAAGGUUUUCGGAUCGUAAAACUCUGUUGUUGAAGAAGAACAUGCGUGAGAGUAACUGUUCACGUACUGACGGUAUUCAACCAGAAAGCCACGGCUAACUACGUG